rnacentral:rRNA from 1 species
GGUGAACGCUGGCGGCGGGCCUAAUACAUGCAAGUCGAACGGCCGGACAGUAAGAGCUUGCUCCUGAGGGUGGCGAGGGGCGGACGGGUGAGGCGUACAUAGGAAUCCACUUUUUCGGGGGGGACAUCGGGGGGCAGCAGAUGCUAACACAGAAUAUGUUGUACGGCUGGGUGCAAAGGUGAAAGAGAGUCUGGCCGUCACUUAUAGACGGUGUCGGAUUAGCUAGUUGGGGGGGUAAAGGACCACCAAGGCGACGAUCCGUAGCUGGUCUGAGAGGAUGAUCAGCCACACUGGAACUGAGACACGGUCCAGACUCCUACGGGAGGCAGCAGUGGGGAAUAUUGGGCAAUGGGCGCAAGCCUGAUCCAGCCAUGCCGCGUGAGUGAUGAAGGCCUUCGGGUUGUAAAGCUCUUUUGUUAGGAAAGAAAAGCAGCAGGUUAAUCCCUCGCUGUUCUGACGGUACCCAAAGAAUAAGCACCGGCUAACUUCGUG